rnacentral:misc_RNA from 1 species
AAGUCGUAACAAGGUAACCGUAGGUGAACCUGCGGUUGGAUCAUUAACAAAAGUGUCGAGGUUUGCCUUGACAAAGGAAAGAGUCGCAAGACUUGGACCGCAACCUUUUGUGAACAGUUUAUUGUCUCUGGCAGAUUGGUUUAGCUUUGGCUAGACUAGCCUGUCAGUAAAUCAACCUUGAGUAUUAUCUAGUCUUAACUACUUGAAAAAGUAAACAACUUUUGACAAUGGAUCUCUUGGCUCUU